rnacentral:misc_RNA from 1 species
GAUGAAGAACGCAGCGAAAUGCGAUAAGUAGUGUGAAUUGCAGAAUUCAGUGAAUCAUCGAAUCUUUGAACGCACAUUGGGCCCCCUGGUAUUCCGGGGGGCAUGCCUGUCCGAGCGUCAUUGCUGCCCUCAAGCACGGCUUGUGUGUUGGGCCUCCGUCCUCCUCCCGGGGGACGGGCCCGAAAGGCAGCGGCGGCACCGCGUCCGGUCCUCGAGCGUAUGGGGCUUCGUCACCCGCUCUUGUAGGCCCGGCCGGCGCUUGCCGACACAUCAAUCUUUUUUCCAGGUUGACCUCGGAUCAGGUAGGGAUACCCGCUGAACUUAAGCAUAUCAAUAAGCGGAGGA